AGAUAUGAUCACAAUACCAGCAAAUGAAAUUUGUAUUCUUACUGUGGCUGUAUUUGUCUUUCUAUAUCAGGUGCAAAUUAUAGCUGAGAUUUUCUCCAAGUCGUUUAAAGAAGUACACUCUUCACUCCUGUUAGACAGCAGCAGUAUGGGAAUGCCUACAUUCUCCAGGGUUAAUAUUGUGCAGCAAAUGGAGAAAAUGCCUGUAAUGAGACAAAACUUUGUGAACAAGGGUAACAUCUACACUGCAGAGGCAGGAGCUUCCCUUGGAGACCUUCACAUGAAUUCUUGCCACAGACAAGACAGGAAAUUUGGCACUUACUGUAGGACUGCCUCACGGUGCAUCCAGCAUUUCGACACAAGCUCAGUGCACAGACGUGAUUCACGUGAGAUGCAAGAUGAAAACGUUAUCUCUACAGCAUGUCUUUGUUUAUUCUUUUUCCCAAAAUUGCCAGACUUCCUAGCACAAUGUACAUACAAGUUUUGAUCAGAAGGUUUUAGAGGUAAAGGAAAACACAGGACUUGAAGAUAACAGCUUCAAGCUUCAAGAUAACAGAAGAUAACAACCUUCAUUUUGGAAUGUAUUCUGAUUCUAUUGCUGACUUUGAAGGCCAUGCAUUUUGGUGUUUAAAUAUGUCUAAUAUAGAUACAACUCCAGGGAGGCUUCUGUGAAGGGAAGCCGUCAUAGCACACUGGCAGCUGGCAGCAGUGCUGGCAGAGCCCAAGAGCUCUGUCCCUGUCAGUUCAGCCAGGUACAGGACAUAAUACCACUGAAAAUAACUUAGCCUAGGUUUGUUAUCACAAGAAGGCUUUUGAAUGACAUUAAAGUUGGAAAAGGAAAUAAUAUACACUUGGAAAACUCACUCAUUUACAUAUGUAAUCAAAUGUUCAGUGAGGCUUGCAUAAGUCUCUAGUUUGAGUGAUGGACCCUUGAAAUA
rnacentral:lncRNA from 1 species